CGGACGAACGCUGGCGGCGUGCUUAACACAUGCAAGUCGAACGGUGACGAGGAGCUUGCUCCUCUGAUCAGUGGCGAACGGGUGAGUAACACGUGAGCAACCUGCCCCAGACUCUGGGAUAACAGUUGGAAACAGCUGCUAAUACCGGAUACGAGACGGAGAGGCAUCUCUACCGUCUGGAAAGUUUUCGGUCUGGGAUGGACUCGCGGCCUAUCAGCUAGUUGGUGAGGUAAUGGCUCACCAAGGCGACGACGGGUAGCCGGCCUGAGAGGGCGACCGGCCACACUGGGACUGAGACACGGCCCAGACUCCUACGGGAGGCAGCAGUGGGGAAUAUUGGGCAAUGGGCGAAAGCCUGACCCAGCGACGCCGCGUGGGUGAUGAAGGCCUUCGGGUUGUAAAACCCUUUCGUGCGGAAAGAAUAGUCCUGUAGCGAAUAACUACGGGAUUUGACGGUACCGCAGGAAGAAGCACCGGCUAACUCCGUG
rnacentral:rRNA from 1 species